AGAGUUUGAUCCUGGCUCAGGACGAACGCUGGCGGCGUGCUUAACACAUGCAAGUCGAACGAUGAAGCCUAGCUUGCUAGGUGGAUUAGUGGCGAACGGGUGAGUAAUACGUGAGUAACCUACCUUUAACUCUGGGAUAAGCCUGGGAAACUGGGUCUAAUACCGGAUACGACCAAUCUCCGCAUGGGGUGUUGGUGGAAAGCGUUAUGUAGUGGUUAUAGAUGGGCUCACGGCCUAUCAGCUUGUUGGUGAGGUAACGGCUCACCAAGGCGACGACGGGUAGCCGGCCUGAGAGGGUGACCGGCCACACUGGGACUGAGACACGGCCCAGACUCCUACGGGAGGCAGCAGUGGGGAAUAUUGCACAAUGGGCGCAAGCCUGAUGCAGCGACGCCGCGUGAGGGAUGACGGCCUUCGGGUUGUAAACCUCUGUUAGCAGGGAAGAAGAGAGAUUGACGGUACCUGCAGAGAAAGCGCCGGCUAACUACGUGCCAGCAGCCGCGGUAAUACGUAGGGCGCGAGCGUUGUCCGGAAUUAUUGGGCGUAAAGAGCUUGUAGGCGGUUUGUCGCGUCUGCUGUGAAAGGCCGGAGCUUAACUCCGUGUAUUGCAGUGGGUACGGGCAGACUAGAGUGCAGUAGGGGAGACUGGAAUUCCUGGUGUAGCGGUGGAAUGCGCAGAUAUCAGGAGGAACACCGAUGGCGAAGGCAGGUCUCUGGGCUGUAACUGACGCUGAGAAGCGAAAGCAUGGGGAGCGAACAGGAUUAGAUACCCUGGUAGUCCAUGCCGUAAACGUUGGGCACUAGGUGUGGGGGACAUUCCACGUUUUCCGCGCCGUAGCUAACGCAUUAAGUGCCCCGCCUGGGGAGUACGGCCGCAAGGCUAAAACUCAAAGGAAUUGACGGGGGCCC
rnacentral:rRNA from 1 species